rnacentral:tRNA from 1 species
GGGAAUAUAGCUUAAUGGUAGAGUGCUUGCUUAGCAUGCAUGAAGCCCUGGGUUUGAUUCCUCAGUACCA